UGACGGUACCCUACUAGAAAGGAGCCGCUAACUUCGUGCCAGAAGCGUCGGUAAUACGGGGGCUCCAAGCGUUAUCCGGUGUUAUUGGGCGUAAAGAGUCGUGUAGGUGGUUGGGUAAGUUAUCUUUCAAAUAUCUUUGCUUAACAAAGAGGAGGGGGAUAAUACUGCUCGACUAGAAUUUUCUCAAGGGAGAUCGGAACUGAGGGAGGAGUAGUGAAAUGCGUUGAUACCCUCGGGAACACCAGUGGCGUAGGCGGAUCUCUGGGAGAAGAUUGACACUGAGACACGAAAGCUAGGGGAGCGAAGCAGAUUAGAGACCUGCGUAGUCCUAGCCGUAAACGCAUGCUUGCUAGCUGCAUGAAUCUACCUUCGGGUGGUAUCGUGUGGCGAAGGUAACCCGUUAAGCAAGCCGCCUGGAAAGUACGGCCGCAAGGCUGAAAUUCAAAGGAAUUGGCGGGGAGGCACACAACCAGUGGAACAUGUGGUUUAAUUCGAGACUAACCGAAGAACCUCACCAGGGUUUGACAUGUAGCUGCACGUCUUAAGAAAUUAAGACUCUCUUGAAGGUGCUACACAGGUGCUGCAUGGCUGUCGUCAGCUCGUUCCGUGAGGAGUGCCCUUAAGUGGGACAACGAGCGCAACCCCUAUUACAUGUUAGAAAUGUCAUGUAAGACUGCCUUGCCAUUUGGCGGGGAGGAAGGAGGGGCAGACGUCAAGUCCGCAUGGUCCUUAUGCCCUGGGCUACACACAUGUUACAAUGAGUACGGCAAUGAGUCUGUCGCGAGCACGUAAGUGUAAGCUAAUCUCUUAAAUGUACUCUCAGUGGGGAUUGAGGUCUGCAACUCGACCUCAUGAACACGGAAUUGGUAGUAAUCGCGGGUCAGCUAUACCGCGGUGAAUACGUUCUUGCCUCUUGCACACGCCGCCCGUCAAACCAGCAAAGUCGAUUGUAUCCGAACCU
rnacentral:rRNA from 1 species